UUCCAAAGAAAUAACUGACUUAUCUGAACAGUUUACAUGAGUAAAUCUAACUGUUAGAAUCUUCUUCUCUAACAUGGGCAAGAACAAUACAAAUGAAAUAACAAUAAAAGAACUGCUUCAAAUUCCACUGUGCAGGUUUCAUUUGAGGGUCUUUAGCUCCGUCCAUCCAGAUAAUGUGUAGUGGAGAAAAAGUGUAAUUAUGAGAGUGAAUUUGGAAAAAUAAUCUGCUAUGGAGAAGAACGAAUCCUGAAGACGCUGAAAACCCCAAAGGAUUGUAGCUAUCUUACAGAGCAAGCCGAUGUGAUACAGAAAACUCUUGCUCUCCAUUUCAUUUUAGUUGCCGAUACACAAAAUAUGAAUCCUGUAUAAACCCUGGACCAAGUUUUUCUCACUCGCAAUUUUGCUUUUUAUUGUUUAAACUCUAACUAACUUUAAAGGGAAGUCAGAAUACACAGACAGAGGAGACUUUCUGGAAAUGUCUUGUUGGAAAAUAAUACUGAGCUAAUGUUUCUUCAAGAAGAUGUAUCCAUGUGUACCUGUGUGUAUGUAAGUGGGGGUGUAUGUGGAUUUCUACUGGUCAUCUGGAACCACGAAAUGUCCAAAACUGAACUCAUCAUCUUUCCCCUGCCCCAACCCUUCCCUCUUCCCCACUUUUCCAUUACUGCAGAGGGCGCCACCAUGCUUUCCCUCACCCAGGCCUGCAAGCUAGGUGUCUUAUUUUCAACCCCUACUCUCUCUCACCCCUACAUUCAAUCAGAUGCCAAGUCCUAUCAUUUCUACCUUUGUAAUAUCUCUUGUAGUUGUCCUUUUCUCUCUCCUUGCACUGUCACCAUGCUUGUGCAGGCCCUCAACACCUCAUGCUUGGACCGCUGCAACUCCCUGCCUCAACUGUGUCCUCAUUCCAGCUCAUUCUCCACACACAUGUCAAAGUGAUCUUCCUGAAGUAACUGAAAACUGUAGCCAGCUGACUCCUCUAAUAUGCUCUUGUCUCCUCCAGGCACACAUUCUGUUUUUGAAGUGGAGCAAUGAGUUUGUUUACUUAGUUUGAACAGCAUAACAGAAGAAUAAGAACUUCUUGUACAAAUGAUCCAAGACCUACAGAGGUUUUUGUUCUAUUGAACCUGGAGCCAAUUCCCACCAUCCUCAAAGUAUAGUGGUCCAAGGAAAGCAGGAGAGCAACCUUAGUUUAAUGAUUUUUUGAAAGCAAAUCACAUUCAGACUCCAUGUAAAAUAAAAUUAGAAAAGCACACUACUGAAUGACAGCAAUGAAAAAUUAAAAGAGCAUUAAAAAAUAUAAAAAAAAAUAUAAAAAAAGACCCCACUACUGUAAUUCUAGGAUGUUGUGGGCUGAAUUAGGAAUACACAAACUUUCAGAAAUUAAACACAGUCACAAAUAAAUAUAUAUGUGGCAGAAGCUGGCUCAUCUAAGUUCUGAGAGAUGACCUAAUUAAGUGUGUGUAUGGUUCUGCUGAAAGGAUCUGAAGGCAAAUUUUAAAAUGUAAUAGCUAAAAGAAUGAAUAAAAUGUUGUUGCUUCAAA